AGGCCAGGGAUCAAACUCUCAUCCUCAUGGAUACUAGUCGGCUUCUUAACCCACUGAGCCAUUAUGGGAACUCCAUUAAGAGAUUUUUUUUUUUUUCCUUUUUUGGGGGACCGAACCAAAGGCAUAUGGAUGUUCCCAGGCUAAGAGUCAAAUCAGAGCUGCAGCUGCUGGUCUACACCACAGCCACAGUAACUCAGGAUCUAAGCCGAAUCUGAGAUCUACAUCAUAACUUGGAGCAAUGCUGGAUCUUUAAUUCACUGAGCAAGACCAGGGAUUAAAACUGCAUCUUCUUGGAUACUAGUCGGUGGCAUCUGAAUUCCAGCUCUACCAAAUAUUAGCUCUGGACUUUGGAUGAGUUAAACUCAUAAAGCCUGAGUUAGCAGCAAAAUAGGAAUAUAAAACUCCGGGAAGAUAACACCCAUGUUUGUGAAAAUUCUUCAUGGCUGCAAAGGGCUGCAAAUAUAUGAUAGAAAAGAAGAGAGCCUGGGGUUGGUGUCAGAAAGACUGCCAGAGAGGCUAAGGACAGGGAGGAAGAAGGUACAUAUAGCCGGCAUGAGAAAGGGUUGGAUGGGGACACUUCGUGAAAGAGGUGGCAUGUUCACUGGGCCCUAAAGGUUUUCAACAGACAGGGAAUUGAGUAGAGAAGGGAGAUGAAGGCAUAAUGCAGGAAAAAAGCAUGAUAUGUGAGAAGGUGGAGGAUAUGGGAGGAUGAUUAACCUAAAGAUACAGGUGGAGAUGGAGUUCAAACCACAUUACUGUAAGCUUUGAGUACCAAGAAAAUGAGUCUGAACAUGAUGCAGAAGGUAACAGGCAACCAACUAAAGGUGAAACCGAGCAGGGCCCUGUGGGGCUCCUGGGCACAAGCCUUUCUGUGUCCCCCUUUUCUUGUUUUUAGGGAAUAAGCUUUGGCCUCCAUGACCUUCCCUGAGUUCCAAAAGGCAGGUUCAAACAGGAGAGGGAGGGGAUGCAGAGAAAAGGGGGGAACUGUCAAGAAACAACAGUGCAGCCUUGGGGCAGGGUCCAGGUUCCUCUUCAAGGAAUACACAUAAUACUAUCUUUGAGUGCUUCUGCAGAACUAAAACCCCCAACAAAUGAAAACAAGAGAGGAAGACCACCAGAACCAGUCCUGGGGCCACCAAACACCAACUCUGAAGAACAACGAAAGCUUCCAUCUAUCCUGAUCCUCAUCAGGGCAUUAGCAGAAAACAUUCUACUCCCAAACUAGAAAACAACUUCCUAAUCUCUCCCAAGGAAGGGCACAGUCUUUAGGGCAUUAGCUUGCUGUGGCCUCCUUUGCCUGGAAAAGCAAUAAAGCUAUUUUCUUCUCCUUCACCCAAACUCCAUCUCCAAGUUUCUAUUUGGCACCGGUGGACAAAGGCUGAGUUUCGGCAACAAAGCCUCCAAUCAGCAACUCAGCUGCUCAGAAGGUAACAAAUACUGGUCUGUGGAUGGGGGAGGCUGGAAGGAGGAGGCCAUGGAAGCAGGGAGAUCCCUCCUUUCCCACCCUGGUUCCUUAGCCCCCUCCCCAUAACUCCACCACUGAAGCUUUAUAAUAAAUCUCAGGCCUCUGAAUUGCCAUCAUCUCCCUAAAGGGCCCCUUCAAAAUGCCCAGCAGCUCUGCUUUGGUCCCAGCCCCGCCUUUUGGAACAUUAACAAGAGAACACACUUUCGUGCCUUCCUCCUCCUAACUUUGCUGGCAACUCUCUUGCCUUCAUGCACAUUUCUCCUCUUGUUGCUAAGCACACUGGGAUUUUUCAGGCAUUUCUCAUUUAAGAGGAUUUUUUUUUACUGUUCUAGUUACCUUUGUCUGGAUAUAACUUUGUUUCUCCUGUAGAAAAAGAAGCACACAGCAUUACCAAAGCCAUUUAGGUAACUGAACCAAACAAACCUUUGAUGUUUGGAGAAGAAUUUAAUUUCCUGCCCCACCUCUUUUCCUUACUGGAUAACCUUACUGGGAGUACUGAGAGAAGGUCAAGUCCAAGGUCCAAGUGGUUCUCAUUUAUCUACGGCAUCACCUAUUGGUUGGAGGCCUACUAUAAUUAAUUAAGUCUUCCAUCUCAUUCUGAGUUGGGUUUGCUCUAAUUUACAUUUGAACCCUAUGCGUUACAUAUUCUUCCCCUUAGGGAAUUUUAUGGAUGCCAGCUAUGAAAUUCACACCCUCUCUGCUGUCGCCUAAAUGUGUACCUGACUUGCUUAUAUUUCUUCCAUAAAAUUUUCUUUAUGCUUUACACAGAAUGAUAGUCAACCUCCAGAAGAUCAUUGCGUUGUUUCCUCAAUUCCAUUUUCCCAAGCUUGAAGGGUUAAACUGUCCUUGGCCAAUGUGUAGACACCUUUGGGAUCCUUUGUGGUUUCACUAAGCCCACCAUGAGUCUCUUUAGCAGCAACACAACAGAAAUGCACUGCCAAUAAAUUCCCAUUUCCCCUGAUAAUAGGGCCUGUGCAAUUCCAAGAUAAGACCCUGUUCAAUCAUGCUAUCAAAACAAGUCCUAUCACCUCAUGUUUAUAUGGAAACACUGAGGAGUUCAAAAUACCUUUUGACUAAUGAAUAUUCAUUUCAUUCUAACUACACAAAAUUCCUCAGAACCUUCUUUCUCCUCAAUCCCCAAACCCUAAAAUCAUUUUCCAUUAUGUGUCUCUCUCAUUUUCUCCUCCUAUAUAACAUGUGUAACUAAGGAAAAAUAAGGACAGAUUGGAUUUUUGCUUUGUGUGGAAACUCAUUUCCGUUUGCUUAAGGAAGUGAAAAGUCUGUCUGAACUCAGCUGAUGAAAUGAGAUGUUUUGAUCUGAUAAUGAUGUUUCUUUCAUGUUGCUGGAUGUGGAGGCAUACUCAGAUUCAUUUAGAGAAAAAUUUUUAUUGACUGUGACUCAUUAGAAAGAACGUCAUGUGCUGGCAUUUCAUCACGAAGCAGGGAAUCUUUCCCUUAUAGGGCCUUUGGCUCAGAUAUGAUUCAGGAAAGGGAAAACGAGCUUUCAUGGGAAAACCUACUAACUCAGCCAGGACCAGAUGAAUGUAAGUAAAUGUACGGUACCCCUGCCACUCUUUUAUGCUGUCUCCUAUGGCAUUAAAGGAGUAAACGUUCUUUGGCUUUGAAAAUUAGGAACACAAGGAAAUGCUGAUUUUCCCUUAGAAGGACUGAAAUAAGCCAAGAGGUUUAUGCUUCAGGAAUUUUCUUUUAAAGCGGGUGACUAUUACAGGAAGUAGCCCUAUAUAUGUGUACGCACUUUAAAAACAGAACACAGUAUUUACUGAAUAGUGGAAUUUUGUAAGCUAUGAUAGGGUUUGAUUUUCAUGAAUUGAAUUAUCAAUAAGGGAAAGACUCUAAAAACAGAAGGUUUACUGGACUAGAUAUAAUUUCAUUCCAGUCUCUACAGCCCUGAUUGCAUAAUAGGGAGGAGAACAGCUGAAGUAUGUUUAUGCCUAUUUAAGAAUAUAAAUGUAUAACUGAAUUACUUUGCUCUACACCUGAAACUAUCAACUAUAUUCUGAUAAAUUUUUUUAAAAAAACAUAUAAGACAAAAUCAAACUCCUUAGCAUAAAAAAAAUAGGAGACUUUAUAAUACCACAAAUUUUUCACAGAAAAAUAUAAUUAUUCAGUGACAUUUUAAAAAGUCUAACAUCAUUAUCUUCAAAACAAACUUGAAUAUGGAAUGGCUAAAAGAGCUGUAAUUUGUGUCCUCUUCCCUACUUUAUUUUUUUAUUUAUAACUUAUUUAUUUAUUUAUUUAUUUUGCUUUUUAGGGCCACACUUGUGGCAUAUGGAGGUUCCCAGGCUAGGGGGUCCAAUCAGAGCUACAGCUGCUGACCUAUACCACAGCCACAGCAACACGGCAGACACCAGAUCCUUAACUCACAGAGCGAGGCCAGGGAUUGAACCAGCAACCUCAUGGUUCCUAGUUAGACUCCCUGUGCCACAACGAGAACUCCCUCUUCCCCACUUUAAAUAACCCCAAGUGUACCUUGUCUCAUGCUUAUUCUUCUUGAAAACAUUCAGGCCAUAAAUGGAGAUAUUUUAAUAAGAGAGUGGACAAUACUCUUCAAUAGACAAGAAGUCUCAGUUUAGAUGGUAUAUAGUGUCUUAUAUCUUUGGGAUGAUAUGGCAGAUUAAUGCUGCUAUAAGGUGGCUAAGAUACAGCCUUCAGGGAAGAUAAAUAAUGUUGAUUCACUCUUCUUCCAAAGCCAAGGACAAAACUGUGAUAAAGUUCAUGGCUGAGAAGACAACCAAUAUUCAAAUAGACUGAUAGCAAAAGGCAGAAGGAUGAUGCAUUUGUCCUGUGAUGAAUGUGGAGGAUACUGAUGAAACAUUCACAGGCAAGCAGCAUAGAAGGCAGAUGUAAAUUAAAGAAAACCAGAGAGGGAAGGUACAGCAAAAAGCUAGACCACAUGUUUUUGUACUUCCAAAGAGGCAAAAAAGGAAUCCUGCACUUUGAACUUCAUGAAAAGACUUCAGGCAGAGGAGGCUCCAAAUGAUGGGUCGAGAUUUUCAGGAGUUCCCGUUGUGGCUUAGUGGGUUACAAAUCCGACUAGUGUCCAUGAGGAUGCAGGUUCGAUCCUUGGCCUUGCUCAGUGGAUUAAGGAUCUGGCAUUUCUGUGGCAUGUGGUGUAGGUCG
ensembl:lncRNA